AUUCCAGAAGUUGAUCAUGGUUCAGAACGAACGCUGGCGGCAAGCUUAACACAUGCAAGUCGAACGGACCGUACACGCAGCUUGCUGCGUGUAUGGUUAGUGGCAGACGGGUGAGUAAUGCAUAGGAAUCUGCCUAGUAGUAUAGGAUAGCCACUAGAAAUGGUGGGUAAUACUGUAUAAUCCCUGCGGGGGAAAGAUUUAUCGCUACUAGAUGAGCCUAUGUCAGAUUAGCUAGUUGGUGGGGUAAUGGCCCACCAAGGCUGUGAUCUGUAGCUGGUCUGAGAGGAUGAUCAGCCACACUGGAACUGAGACACGGUCCAGACUCCUACGGGAGGCAGCAGUGGGGAAUAUUGGACAAUGGGCGCAAGCCUGAUCCAGCUAUGCCGCGUGAGUGAGGAAAGCCUUAGGGUUGUAAAACUCUUUCAGUGGAGUUAGAUAA
rnacentral:rRNA from 1 species